rnacentral:lncRNA from 1 species
UUUUUUUUUUUUUGCUUUUUUAGGGCCACACCCACAGCACAUGGAAGUUCCUAGGCUAGGGGUCUAAUCAGAGCUGCAGCUACUGGCCUAUACCACAAACCCGUCACAGUCACAGCAAUGCGGGAUCCGAGCCACAUCUACGACCUACACCACAGUUCAUGGCAAAGCCAGAUGCUUAAACUCACUGAGUUAGGCCAGGGAUCAAAUCCAUGUCCUCAUGGUUACUAGCUGGGUUCGUAACCCUCUGAUCCAAAACAGGAACUCCACCAAUAUCAUGUAUUUUGAUAGAAAAUUUACUGCCUAAAAAACAGACCUUAAUUUGAAAAUGGAUACAUGUGUGUGUGUACACACACACCCCUGAUUCACUUUACUGUACACCUGAAACUAACAUAAUAUACUAAGUCAACUAUAUUCCAGUAAAAUUAAAACAAAAAGACCUUUAAUGAAAUUCCUAGCUAAAAAAAGAUUAACGACUAAAAACAUUUAUAGAACGCUUACCAAAAAAGAAGAAUCACUAAUUACUGUAACAUGAACUGGUGAAUGAACAAAACAGACAUUAUACUGGGAAAAGCCACACCAUCUGGGUUCAUAGGAUAGGUCAUGAUAAAGAUAAAACAGCAUGUGACAUAAAAGGUGAAUCUUCAAAGCUAACCCCCUCCCUUGCUAACAUGACAAUAUACUUUACCAGAAAAGAAGAAGAAAUGGCAAAAUCAUUCUCAUACUUGAAUUGAUAGGAAAAAGCUUAGGAUACAGCAAAUAGUGAAUAUGAUUGCCAAACACUGCAGUGAAAUUUGAGGCUGUUUAGUAAAAUAUGUAAUGUUAAAUUUAAAAAAACCUUUAGUACAUAUAGCAGAUAUGAAAUAAUUAUAAUAAAAGAAAUUAGCAAGCAUCUAAGUACCAAAGGUUCAAAUUAAAGUGAUUUUAAGAACAAGUGAUGUUUAUUGAGUUCUUAGCAAGUGUUAAACCUAGUGCUAAGCACUUCACACACAUUAUCUCAUUUGAUAAAAACCCUAUUUAUCUUAUCCCUAUUUUACAUUAAGUGACAGUCUGGAUUCACACCCAGAAUCUAACUUUGUUAACUACUAAGGUAAUAUGUACCAUACUAACAUACAUGUAUUAACAUGGUUCUUUAACCAUACAGUAAUAUAUACUGUAUUAACUGUCAUGUAAAUUUAAUGAUCAAACAACAUACAUAGGAUAAUGAACAUGCCCAAUCCUCUCAUAAUAUGGGAGUACUCGUACGAACCGCUCAUACUCAUCAAAGUACUUUUACAUGGGAGUUCCCAUUGUGGUGCAGCAGAAAUGAAUCUCACUGGGAACCAUGAGGUUGUGGGUUCGAUCCCUGGCCAAGCUCAGUGGGUUAAGGAUUUGGCCUUGCCGUGAGCUGUGGUGUAGCUCACAGCAACACCUGAUCCUUAACCGACUGAGCGGGGCCAGGGAUCAAACUGGCAACCUCAUGGUUUCUAGUCGAUUUGUUUCCACUGCGCCAUGACGGGAACUCCUGUUAUAAGAGUCUUGAAGGUAAGAAACUCAUCUCUUUCCUACAGAGGAACUGACAGUACUUUGUAGUGACCAGAGUUUAAAAAAUAUUCUCUAGUUAAAUGAAUUUUGAAAUGAUAUGGUUACAUUACCUAAUUUUUUGACCCCCCCCAAAAAAAACUGUUUAUCCCUGGAGCUUUGAAUAAGGAUGACAUUUUCUAUUGACAUACAAGAGUGUAUUAUCUACACAAUACUAACAAUGGACUUGGAGUCAGAAGGUCUUGUUUGAACUUAGGUUCCACUACUUAUGACCUCUGGCCAUAAUACUCCCUCUCAUUAAUUUCCAUAAAAUGAAAACAUUCAUAGCUAUCUGAGAGGACUUUCACAACUAUUAUGAGGAAUGAGUAAAUUAGGAAAAGACUUAGGUUAUUAUGUAAAGAGAGUCUGGUACUCGGUCCUUAGUCCAAUAAAUACUUAAUGGGCUAUUCUCAGUCUGUGCCAAUGUCCUCACUUCCAACAAGAAGUGCUGACAGAAAUUCAUACCCUUUCUGCAAAGUGAUAGGAAAGAUGUCUUUAGGAACUCCUAAAAUACAUCUUUAUCCAUCAUAUUUUAUCACAAAAAGUUAAAUAUAAACAGGAGGCAUUUACCACCCUGCUAAAACAAUAAUGAAAAUGGUGAUUGGAAAAGAAAAAACUAUAAAAUUGCUCAUUAGAAUAAGUAUGAUCUCAAUAAACUUUUUACUUCCUUUUACAUAAAAUUUUUCUUUUUUUAUGGCCACACCUGUGGUACAUGGGAGUUUCUGAGCCAGGGAUUAAAUCCCAGCCACAGCUGCAACCUGCCCUACAGGUGCAGCAACACUGGAUCCUUUAACCCACUGCACCAGGCCAGUGAUCGAACUCGAACCUCCGCGGCGACCUGAGUUGCUGCAGUCAGACCCUUAAGCCAUUGUACCACAGCAGGAACUCCUACAUAAAAUCAUUUUAUAUUUAACUUCCUGUGCAGUAGGAUACACAGAAAUUCAUUAAUGUCUGCCUAGUUGGCCUACCUGGUUUGUCAGAAGAAUUAUUAACCUCUAUUAUAAAUCCCUGCAGGUGGAACUGCCCCUAUGAGAAACAAUUUCUACAAUUCUGCCCCUGUGGCCUUCAUUUGGA